CCCAAUCAGCAGUCGGACGUGCUCCUCCCACCUCCAGCUACUCCAAAGCCUCCCUAGGCCAUGAUUGCUCCACUGUCACCUGAAGACAAGAAAAAGAAGACAAAAUGAAAUAAUAUUAAAAGAAGAAAAUUGAAAGAGAGGGGGGGUCAGCAGCCAAGAAAGGAAGCAAGAAAGAAAAAAACAACAAAAUCAAGCAAAAAACAGCAGCGAAAAGCCCCACGCCGCCGCGUCCACCGCCGUCCCUCACCACCAGCCGUCGUUCCCCCAUCCACCAAAGACAAAGAAAGCCAAUAAAAAAAAAAGCAAAGACAAAGAAAAAAAACAGCAAACAAAAAAGGGAAAAAAAGAGCAAAGAAAGAAAAUAAAAAGAAGAAAAGAGGGGAGAGGAGAGCUCCUCCGCCGCCGUCGACCGUCGCAUCGGGCUGGGAGGAGCACUGUCGGGGCUGAUCGGGAAAGAAAGAAGAAAGAAAGAAGAAAAGGGGAAGAAGAAAGAAGAAAAAAAUAAUAAAAAAUUAAUUCAGUCAGGUCAAACCAACCCGACCCGACCCAAUACGACCCGUGCCCGACCCAGCAUCCCAGUAGGCCCACACAGCAGUCAAAAAAAAAGACCCAGAAAAAAAAAGAAGAGCAGCAGAAAAAAAACAGCCCAGCAGCUUCAAAGCAGGCCUGUCCAGUAGCAGGCCCAACGCAGGCAGCCCAGCAGCAACAAAGCAGGCCUGUCCAGCAGCAGGCCCAAUCAGCAGGCGGCCCAGCAGAAAAAGCAGGCUGUCCAGCAGGCCCAGGCCCAAUCCGAAGCAGGCCGAGAAAGGAAAAAGGAAGGGCUCAAUUUGUGUAACCCGUUCGACCAAGCUCGUGUUUUGGAUCUUUUCGGUAAUUUUGUUUAUUUCACUUUUAAUUUAAUACCCGUAUUUUUAUGCUAUUCCGUUUUAAUAUUACUGGUACUUUUAUGCAUUUUUAUAUUUUUGUAUUUAUAUUUUUUAUUUAAUCCAAUUUUAAUUUUAUUUUA
rnacentral:lncRNA from 1 species